UACUAAUCACCUGUACCUUGGGGGUUAAGAAGACAAAGAGACAAAAAUGUAAAAAUUGUUUUUAAAAUGUGCCGAUUGUGGGUUGCAAAAGGGCACCAUCGACUGGAAGCUGCUCUGACGUCACAGACAUUGAUCCUGAAUAUGAAAUGAAGGCAGUGGGUGAGGAGACUCCCGACUGGAGCUGCUGCUGCUGGGCAGGAGAGACACGUUCAGCCUCGGUGCACAACAGAACGAGAAAGUGAGGGGGAAAAAAGGAGGGGAAGCAAAACGGGACAUUAAAAAGGAUUUUUGCUGGCAUCCCUCAGUGCAAGGCUCAAUAGGACUGACUCAUUCUCUCUCUAUCUCUUACUCAAUCUGUCUAUAUUUCCCUUCGUCUCUCUCUUUUUGUCUUUCUCCCCUCCCUUCCCCCGAAACGGUGCAGGGUAGUGGUUUCUCUCCCUUUCUCGCUCUUACUCGCUCUCUCUCUGCUUACCUUUCCACACACACAGUCCUUUGCUUGCUGCUGCUGGUUGAGUUUAUUAUUCUGCGCUCUUAUUGGUCAACUCUCAAGUGAUGGUUUAGAGCCGGGUCUGAUUAUUUGCCUCUGGGAAUCCUGAAGCACAGAGGAGGUGCCGUCUACUUGGUUCUUUUUUCUCGAAUGGUUUUUGUUCUGGUAUUAGUUUGAGCUGCUGCCUAAACUGAAAGAACAACAGCGCAAUAUCUGCAGUGGAACAACUUUAUAAUUCAGAAUCGAGUUUAAAGAGAGAAUGCUCAGAAAAAUCAUGUUGAGAGGGAAGUUUUGGUCUCAGAGAAAUUACAUCAGGUGAAUUGCCAAUCAGUUGGGUACGUUUCCUUUCUUAAGUGGCUUUUUUGGCAGUCCAAGCUGGAUUCAGAUCAUGCUACCGAUACAAUCAGGUCAACACCGGGUCUGACCGUGAAUUCCCAGCUUCCAGAAAACAUCACUCCCCCCUCGGUUAAACGCAACAAAAGACCAGGAUUACUUCAAGCCAUGAAGAAAAUCUGGUCCAAGAAACGCUUUCAGAAAACCGGACACUCUAACCGAACUUUUGGGCGGUUCACUCAUGGUGUGUUUGGCUUUAUAGAUAACAGGUUAUUACAAGAGAGAUCUUAUGAUAACUCUUCAGUCUGUCAGUCAUUAAAUGUCUAGUCUUUGUUUAAAAUCGAGGAUGCAUUGAUUUUUCCUUUUACAGUUUGAAAGAGAAUGCAUCUAAUCUUGCAGUAUCCAUCUGCUAGCAGUCAUGAGAACAAUGAAAAUUUAAGAAUUGAAGUCAUGAGAAUGCGUGAAUUGAAGUUAAUUUGGAAAUUUAAUUGUAAUGACAUGGAGGACUUCAAUGAAUGUGAAGAAUUUUAACCAGUGUUUAAUAUUUAGUUGUUUUAGAAUAUUAUUCAUAUUUUGAAUUAGCUUUUAUUUUUCUAUUUUCAGUUUUCAUGUGAAUUCAUUGAAUUUUGUGAUUUGAUUUAAACGUAUGUUUCUAUUUAGCUUUAUUUAUAUUUAAGUUUUAGUAACUUGUACUUCAGUAAUUAGUACUUUUUGUCAUUUGCAGUGGGUAUAGAAAAGAAUCACCCCCCUUUAAAAUAAUCACAUUUUGUUGCUUUGCAGCCUGAAUUUUUUUUGUUUUAUCCAGCUGUAUUUGCAACUUAUAACAUCCAAGUGAAAGAUAUAACACCAACAUGAAUUUUGAAUAACUUUUGCUGAGUUAAAGUUGUUUAUAUUUUCUGUUUAGUUAGCUCCUUGAUAUCUCGCCCAGACUUCUUGUUUCAGUAUGAAAUAUGUAAACAGCCAACACAAGACAGAAAACAGUGCUCGUCUUUAAUUAUCUUCAGCAGUAACACAUGCAACUUGCCAACUUCCAAAAUGUGUUUCUUACUGUGAAGUAUCACACAAAUGUGUGCCAAAACAAAGUCUAAGCCUCUGUAGCAUCUGGAUAUUGAUGAUAAAUCAUUAAGAUUUAGGAUUUCUAUCACUUGAUUCUCUGAGGCAAGCAAAAAAAGUCAUCUAAUAUCCCUUUGAAUAUGUUAUUGUAAUCAAUCUCUGAAUCAAGGCCCUCGAUAACCUCAUCAGAGAUACCUAGAGGGCCAACAUCAGAGGAAGUGUUCAUGAUCUAAAUUGUGUGCCCUAAAUUGUGCAUAAAGUACCUCCGCUGCUGCACUGCUCCCAUUACCUCUGAGAAGCAUUUAUUAUAAAUGACUGCUAAUGGGGAUAUCAUUAAUAUUCAUGUCUGAUAAUAAUAAAACAAUUUAGUCUGCAUUAUAUCA
ensembl:lncRNA